CAACGCAGCUGGAGAUGAUGUGUCCUUCUGCUCAAGAAAUUCAAGAAUUCCCCAGACAAAGGGAGAAAUGAAGUGAUCCAAGAUUAUUGACAAAGGAAAGGAUGGCUGGGCUGAGAUGUGGACUUCUGAAGAGGUGUGCUUGGCAGCUGGUGGCUGUCCAUGUUCCCCAGAUGGAGAGGAGCUCUUCCUCAGCAAGGGCUGCUGUACCAGAGGACCACAAACUGGGUGCCUUAAAACAACAGAAGUUGGUUCUCUCACAGUUCUGGAGGCCGGAAGUCUGAAAUCAAGGUGUGGGCAGGGCCGCACUCCCUCUGAAGCCUCCAAGUGAUGAUCCCUCCGUGCCUCUUCCUAGCUGCUGGUGGUUAUGGGGCAAUCCUCGGCAAUUCUUGGCUGGGACAGCAUAACUCCACCUCUGCCUCCGUUUUCUCUCCCUGUACGUGUGUCUGUGUCUGUUUUCUUGUAAGGAUACCAGUCAUUGGAUUCGGGCCCACCCUAAUCCAGUAUGACCUCAUUUUGAUUUAACUAAAUACAUCUGCAAAAAAAUGCUCUUUCCAAGCAAGGUCACAUUCACAGGUGCCUCAGGCUUUAGGACAUAAACAUAUCUUUUUGGAGGACAUAAUUCAACCUAUAACACAAGGCCUAAUCUGUUCCCAAGGCAAGAGGUUGGGAUAGAGCUGGGGUCUGGCCUUUAAGAUCUCCUAAAAGCCCUCCAUGUUGCUGAGCAGCCUCCCUCCACCUUUGAGACAUCCCAAUCUAGCCUAGUUUUGCAAUUUAUCAAUGUGUGUGGGGGUUUUGUUUGUUUGUUUUUUAUAAAGCAGGUGUAAGGAGUUUAUUCCACCCCUCAGUCCAUAGCAUGAUCACAUCAUCAAUGAUGGAGGGAUUCUCUCUUAUUUUUUCCCUUUCUGCCCUGAAUCAGUCAAGAUAGUUAUGCUGGAGGAACAAACAACCCUAAAAUCUCCAUGGCUUAAAACAGCAAAGGACGAUAUUUUGUUCAUGCUGCUCACAUCGUGGGUCAGCAGUCCACUGUAUCACUCAGGCACCUGAGUGGGGCCAGUUCCCGUACUAGAGUGAGGAGAACUCGGGGAGUUCCAAUGUCUGCAGCUAGAUACUUGGCCCAGGGAGACUUGGACCAUAUCUUAGCCAGGACCAGUCCCACAGCUACGUCCAAGCACGAGGGGGCAGAAAUGCCAGUGAACCAUGGGCCCAGAGGUGAGAGAAUGGGAAAGAUUUGGCCAAAUUCACUGAUGUCUGCUACGAACACCGUGUCUUUUAUUUUGUGGCUUGUCCGUCACCUUGUCCAUGGGUUUCCAUUAAGAAUUUCCAUCUUGGGGCCGGCCAGGUGGCGCAGCGGUUAAGUUCGCACGUUCUGCUUCGGAGGCCUAGGGUUUGCCGGUUUGGAUUUCGGGUGCGGACCUAUGCACUGCUUGUCAAGCCAUGCUGUGGUAGGCGUCCCACAUAUGAAGUAGAGGAAGAUGGGCACAGAUGUGAGCUCAGGGCCAGUCUUCCUCAGCAAAAAGAGGAGGAUUGGCAGCAGAUGCUAGCUCAGGGCUGAUCUUCCUCAAAAAAAAAAAAAAUUUCCAUCUUUAGGAGGCCCUCACUCUCCUGUUUCCUUCCCACUUGCCUUUCUAAUAUUCCCUCCCCGACUCCACUGUCUGAGGGCCUCCUCUUUACAAACUAAACUAAAGCCAAGUUGUUUGUGGCAGCGAUGGGUGGCCCCUCUUAGAUAAUGUAUUCACAUUGCUUCUCUUGAUUGAAGGUUCUUGAGUCAUCAGUCAGUAGACAAGUAUUGAGCACCUGGGUGGGCAGGUGCUGGGACUGUAUCAGGGAGCAUGAGACAGGAUGUCUGCUCUCAUGGAGCUGGGAUUCUAGCCCAUUACAUCCAGGAUGUCUUGGGCUACAAACAACAAGUCCCUCUCAAACACUGAAACCACAACCACGUUAUCUCAUAUAACAGGAAGACCAGAGGCUGGAGAGUUUCCAGGUGCAUUUCGACUGGGGCCCCAGCUCCAUUUCCUUUGGCUCUGCCUUUUGCCAGGAGGCUUUUUCCUUAUAUUAUUAUAUUAUAUGUAAUAUAUAUUAUAUUAUUGUAUUAUAUUAGCUUCAUUGUCAAAAAAUGGCUUCCAGCAGCAACUCUGAUUCAGUGGGAAAGAAAGAGACCUUUCCAACCUUUCUUUUCACUCUCCCUGGGACAAUCCCUGCACGCACAGCAGUCACCCGGGGAAUGCCAUGUAUGGCUGGCUCCCGUCUGGGUCUCUGACACUCAUUGCCAAGGAUGAUUCACUGUGGCUGCCUUGGAGCCUGGAGGGUGGGGGUCACCUUCCCCCAGGGUACAGGCUGGAAUUGGGAGUAUGUUAGAUGCUAGGGCUACCAUAACCAGGCACCAAGGACUGGGUGGCAUAAACAGCAACUUUAUUUUCUCACAAUUCUGGAGGCUAGAAAUCUGAGAGCAAGGUGUCAGCAAGGUUGAUUUCUCCCGAGGCCUCUCUGCUUGGCUUGAGAUGGCAUCUUCUCCCUCUGUCUUCACAUGGUCUUGCCUCGUGUCUGAUUCCUAAUCUCCUUUUAUAAAGACACCAGGCAUAUUGGAUUAGAGCCCCCCCUAACGACCUCAUUUUAACUUAAUUCUCUCUUUAAAGACCCUAUCUGCAAAUACAGUCACCUUCUGAGGUACCAGGGGUUAGGAC
ensembl:lncRNA